rnacentral:rRNA from 1 species
GACGAACGCUGGCGGCGUGCUUAACACAUGCAAGUCGAACGGUGAAGCGCCUUCCUUUUUGGUGGGUGUGGAUGAGUGGCGAACGGGUGAGUAACACGUGAGUAACCUGCCCCCUUCUUCUGGAUAACCGCAUGAAAGUGUGGCUAAUACGGGAUAUUCUGGGUCUGUCGCAUGAUGGGUCUGGGAAAGAUAUUGUUUCGGUGGGGGAUGGGCUCGCGGCCUAUCAGCUUGUUGGUGGGGUGAUGGCCUACCAAGGCGGUGACGGGUAGCCGGCCUGAGAGGGUGGACGGGCAGACUGGGACUGAGACACGGCCCAGACUCCUACGGGAGGCAGCAGUGGGGAAUAUUGCACGAUGGGCGCAAGCCUGAUGCAGCGACGCCGCGUGAGGGAUGGAGGCCUUCGGGUUGUGAACCUCUUUCGCCAGUGAAGCAGGCCUGCCUCGUUUGUGGGUGGGUUGACGGUAGCUGGAUAAGAAGCGCCGGCUAACUACGUG